UAUUUUGAACCGCAUGGUUCGAAAUUGAAAGGCGGCUUCGGCUGUCACUUAUGGAUGGACCCGCGUCGCAUUAGCUAGUUGGUGAUGGUAACGGCUCACCAAGGCAACGAUGCGUAGCCGACCUGAGAGGGUGAUCGGCCACACUGGGACUGAGACACGGCCCAGACUCCUACGGGAGGCAGCAGUAGGGAAUCUUCCGCAAUGGACGAAAGUCUGACGGAGCAACGCCGCGUGAGUGAUGAAGGCUUUCGGGUCGUAAAACUCUGUUGUUAGGGAAGCAACAAGUGCUAGUUGAAUAAGCUGGCACCUUGACGGUACCUAACCAGAAAGCCACGGCUAACUACGUGCCAGCAGCCGCGGUAAUACGUAGGUGGCAAGCGUUAUCCGGAAUUAUUGGGCGUAAAGCGCGCGCAGGUGGUUUCUUAAGUCUGAUGUGAAAGCCCACGUCUCAACCGUGGAGGGUCAUUGGAAACUGGGAGACUUGAGUGCAGAAGAGGAAAGUGGAAUUCGCAUGUGUAGCGGUGAAAUGCGUAGAGAUCAUGGAGGAACACGCAGUGGCGAAUGCGACUUUCUGGUCUGUAACUGACACU
rnacentral:rRNA from 1 species